GAUAUAAAUAUGAAAACUAUACAGAAAUAUGAAAUAUGAACUAUGCAAGUUAUAAACAGUUGUAGAACUAUAAUAAUUGUAUUGUAAAGAAUGAUUGUCUAUAGUUAAUCGGUUUAACUCAAGUUGUAUUUCUUUCUAAAAACAGGAGAAAGUAUUUUGGACAGAUAUGAGGAAAGCUGCUGUGUUUAGUGCCAACCGCUUGACAGGAAGCGACAUCACUAAGAUGGCAAAGGACCUGGGCCAGCUAAAAGACAUCGUACUGCACCACAACCUCAAGCAGCCAGCCAGUGCAAACUGGUGCACGAAUGGAGGUUGUGAGUUCCUGUGCCUACCUGCCCCUCAGAACGACCCACAGUCUCCCAGAUACACCUGUGCCUGUCCUGAUGGCAUGGUCCUGAGACCUGACAUGAAGAAAUGCGUGGCAGGGUCCCACAAAUCCUGCUGCACCCAGGCAGCCAGACCCAACCACCACAACUACAACCACCAACAAACACACAACUACCUCUGCUGUGCAGCCUAAUCCUAAAGAACAGCUCUGGAGAUAUUAUGAUUCAGUUCAUCCAACACAGCCAUACUGCACCUCUGACUGACCAGGAGCUGAGUGAUGCCCUGGUCCAGAUCUGUGAGGAGAUACCCGAUGACAUCAGUCGUUAAUAGCAUGUCCCGAUGUUGUCAGGCAUCAUACAAGAAACAACAACAAGUGUUUGACCGGAAAUGGCGGAUGCUCUCACCACUGCAACGAUCUAAAGAUUGGAUACAACUGCUCCUGCCCUGCUGGAUACAGGUUAAAAGCAGACAACAAAACCUGUGAAGACAUCGAUGAAUGCACUGAGCCGGACACUUGCAUUCAGAUUUGCAUCAACCUCCCAGGCAGCUACAAGUGUGAUUGUGAAGAGGGCUAUGAGAUUGAACCUGCCACCAAGACCUGUAUAAAAAGUUAUAUAUAAAAAGUUAAUGCAUUGGUAUUGAUGACCAAUAUUAAUACUACAUUUUACUAUACUGCCACCAAUUGUCUGUUUUGUCGUAUCCACUUAUGGAUGCCAACAGGAGGACACAUGACCAAAUCUUGGAAUAAACGUAACCAUGUAACACUCACUGAGUUACAGAAAAUGUUUGAAAUGUCAAACAUGGGUCUUAAGGUCAAAUAUUGCCAUCAUAAGUUUCACUAUUAAAACAUUAGCUUCCUUUAAAUCAG